UGUGUGUGUGUGUGUGUGUGUGUGUGUGUGUUGGCAUAUGUGGUUUAUGGAACCAAUUUUCAGGUUUACCCACCAGCAUUAUGAGACCAUUUAGUUUAUGAGACCAUUUUUGGUGGUCUCAUAAACUAAAAAUUUAAGUUGAUAUUAAAAAUGGUUUAAAUUAUGAUUAUUCAUUACAAUGACCUAAAUGAUAAUUAUAAGACUUGUUUCAAAAGUUCACAUUGUUAUUUGGUUAUUAUUACACUUGGUGUGCUUUUUAUGACCUUUACAAAUAUGGUCUUGUAAACCAUGAUGUGUAUGUGUGAUCUUUGAACAGCGCCUCUGUAGGCGGAACUUGGUACUGCACUUCUAUACACACUCGCGCCAAAUCUUACACAAUUUCGCGCCAUACAUUCAAUCGCGGGAAAACGUCCCUCAUGAAGACUGUGGACGUGACAGUCGCGCUUCAAGCAGUGAAACUCACAUCAAACAAUGAAUGAAUGGUGGUAAGAGUCAAAGCAGAGGAUUAAAUCCUUUGAAAGAUGCUGCUCAUCAUGUGAGGUUGGGGAAGGAUAAAGACAUGCUUACGUGGAGGUACAUCAGUGACAUCAAAGAUGGGAAAUACAUUUAUUUUUAAUAGGUAGG